UGGCUUCAGUAGGUGAUGAUGACAACAUUCCUUCACUUAGAGAACAAGUUGCCCAUCAACGAUAUUUCAAGACCUGGCAUGUGGAAAGGGAAUACUUCAGUAAAUAAACCAAGCAUGGUGACAGCUAAUUAGAUCUAGAAUCUAAUAGUUUUUCUAUAAUUAAUAAUGAUUUCCGAUGAUUUUUCUGGGUCUGCAUUAUAGGGAAAAAAUGUGAAGAGCAUAACAUUGAAGAUCAGUCCAAAAACCAAGAAAGAAGUCUAAGCCAGCAAUCGGUGCAGUUUAACAUCUGAGGGCUGUCCAAGAGAGGAAGAGAUUCCCACAGUACCAUUGUCAUGCCAGGAUGACUGCAGGCAGAAACAAAGCUGAGCCACUUCCCCUCCCCUCAAGAGCAAUAUCAGAGACUUAAAGUUAUGAAGAAGAAAUUGACAGAGCAAGAGCAUCGCCAUCGUGGACAAGCACCUCAUUUUAAAAUUCACCUUAAUCAAAAACUCUAAAUCCAAAGGGCAUCAGCCUAAUGGCUAAGGUCAGCAUGACCAUAAACCACAAAUAAUCUCGCUGACCAAAAACAUUCCAGACUCCUCCCUGACCAGAGACAUGCACCAAGAUAACCCCCACUCUGGCUGGGAAGAUGCCAGCCCUGAGAAACCCCGCUCCGGCCAGAAAGAUGUCUGCCCCAAAAUAACCUCCCCUCCGCCCAGAGACAUUCCAAGCUUGUAAUAAGCCCCCUCACCCUAAAACCAAUAUAUACUCUUAGCCUGUAAGAAAAAG
rnacentral:lncRNA from 1 species